CGGGCUGCGGGCUUAGCGGCGCCGAGGGCGGGAGCAAACAGGCAGCGGCGGGGACGCCUCUCUCUGCGAGGUCCUGCCGACAUCUGGGGGGUGGCCCGGCGCCGUGGCGUGCCGGGUGCCCGUCCUGUCCCGGGUGCAUCCCCGCCGUCCCCGCUCUCCCCCGGCCGGGGGAAAUGGAGGAAAACACAAAAGAUCAGGGCAGAACAGUCUGCCCGCAGCCGGGAGUAGUCAGCAGGAGCCAGCAGCUGCUCUUUGCCAGUAAAGACUGUGGAGCAUCAGGGAGAAUAUUUGGCAUAAAGAAAUGAAAGGCACGAGGGAAGCUUCGUAUUCCCAAGGGAAUUCUUUGGGCACCACCUGCAUCUUCUGAACUGCACCGAUAAUCCCGACUCUGGCAGAAACCUUCCAAAGCUGGAAGGAACAGGGAAGAAAAUUCCAGGAGCAGUGGGAAGUGCUUUCUCACAGGUCACGGUGGUGUUGAGGUUCGCAUGAGUUCCAGACAUUCAUAGGGCCUCUCCUGUUGCCUGCCCAGGACGGAGGCGGUGUUCCUUGAGUGGCUGCAGUUCCCUGCAUGUGGAGGGAGCAGGUCCGUGCUGGAGAGUGGGAGAAAGGUCCCUGCUGCUUGCCGUGUCCUUGGUGGGCAGGCAGCUCUGCCCUUGGCCGGAUGGGCUGCCGAUUUCGAAGCAUUCUGCAGAGAUCUGCCUGGGAGGAGAAGCAGAGCCAAGGACUGAGAACUGACAUGUGAGCUCCGGUGAGGACUGCCGCUCCCCCUGCCUUGGUGUGGGACCUCCUGAGCUCCCCUUCCUGUGCUGGGAGUGUUUCUCCUCUCAUCCAGCCAAGCCAGAGACCUCCUAGGGAACAAGCAGGGAAGGUUUAAGUAUCGAGAUCUCCCAUGUAAGAAGCGACAUGACAAAAGGAAAUGGCCUCAAGUUGCAGCAGGGAAGGCUUAGGUUGGAUUUGAGGAGAAAUUUCUUCACUGGAAGGGUGGUCAGGCCUAGGAGCAGGCUGCCCAGGGAAGCCCCCAUCCCUGGAGACAUUUCAAGGGUGUCCAGAUGUGGUGUUUAGGGACCUGGUUUGGGAGGGGCUUGGCAGUGCUGGGGCAACAGCUGGGCUCAGUGACCUUAGAGGCAUUUUCCAACCUAAAGGAUCCUAUGGUUCUGAAAAGCCUUGACCCCUCUGGCUCUAACACAGCAUCUGGAUGCUGACAAAAAGAAGGCUGGUCAUAGACAUUCGAGGUCCCUAUCCCACAGGGAGGGGACAAGCCGGUGUCACCUGCAGGGAGGGUCUCAUCCCCAGAGAGCAGUCAGUGACUCCAUCCCUGCCUGGGGCUCUGUGUGCACCCUCGGAGUGGACACCUGCCCUCAGGUUUCCCUCUGGGCAUUCGGGGAGAGAACCAGGUCCAUCCAUGUGACAGCUCCAGGGCUUGCAGGCUUUUGGGCCUUGCAGCUGUGCGCCUUGUCACAAGGUGGCAGGGACAUGACACUGCCUGGAAACGCUCCUGGCCUUGGAUCCUUGCUGCUUUCCUCCUUAA